rnacentral:rRNA from 1 species
UACGUAGGGGGCAAGCGUUGUCCGGAUUUACUGGGCGUAAAGAGCGUGUAGGCGGCCAAGCAGGUCCGUUGUGAAAACUCGAGGCUCAACCUCGAGACGUCGGCGGAAACCCUCUGGCUAGAGUCCGGAAGAGGAGAGUGGAAUUCCUGGUGUAGCGGUGAAAUGCGCAGAUAUCAGGAAGAACACCCGUGGCGAAGGCGGCUCUCUGGGACGGUACUGACGCUGAGACGCGAAAGCGUGGGGAGCAAACAGG